rnacentral:rRNA from 1 species
AGGUUAGUUUUACCCUACUGAUGACCUUGCCCCAAUGGUAAUACCGCUUAGUACGAGAGGAACCGCGGAUUCAGAUAAUUGGUUUUUGCGGCUGUCCGACCGGGCAGUGCCGCGAAGCUACCAUCUGCUGGAUAAUAGCUGAACGCCUCUAAGUUAGAAUCCAUGCCAGAACGGGACGAUUUUCUCCAGCACGUCGUACGAGGAUACGAAUAGGCUUCGGCCCCGGACCUUAGCAGGCCAUAACUCCUCUUUCGUAGAAGUCGGAAGAGGUAAUUGGCGGAUAGCAAUUUGACAGCGCGCUGGGAUGAAUCCUUUGCAGACGA